UACGAGGGGGGCAAGCGUUGUUCGGAAUUAUUGGGCGUAAAGGGCGCGUAGGCGGUUUGACAAGUCUGAUGUGAAAUCUAUGGGCUCAACCCAUAGCCUGCAUUAGAAACUGUCGGGCUUGAGUAUGGGAGAGGUGAGUGGAAUUUCCGGUGUAGCGGUGAAAUGCGUAGAUAUCGGAAGGAACACCUGUGGCGAAAGCGGCUCACUGGACCAUAACUGACGCUGAGGCGCGAAAGCUAGGGGAGCAACAGG
rnacentral:rRNA from 1 species